rnacentral:tRNA from 1 species
GGGCAAAAUAGGCAAAGAGUUUUAAUUUGCAAUUAAUAAGAGUUCCAUAAAAUUGGGGCCUUGUCUA